UCCAAACUGUUCCAAUCUCUGCGUGUUACUC
rnacentral:piRNA from 1 species